GCCUGAUAUAAGGAGGGGCCUGAGUGUCCCCCCACAGUAGUGGUGAAGGAGGAGUUGGGUGGGGAUGUGAAGGUGGAGUCAACAUCGCCUAAGACUUUCCUGGAGAGCAAGGAGGAGCUGAGUCACAGCCCAGAACCCUGCACCAAGAUGACCAUGAGGCUACGGAGGAACCACAGCAAUGCCCAGUUUGUAAGGACCCAGCCCUGACUUCUUAAUGCUCUGCUUCUCGUCCCUUCAAUAAGCAUUCCCCUGCAUGGCACUGGACCAGGU
rnacentral:sRNA from 1 species